UAUUGAAGGGUCACAGUGAAAGACCCCCAUAGUGGGGAGACUCUCACUCAAGUCUCGGGAUAAGCCGCUGCCCCAAUAAUUCAAGAGAGACU
rnacentral:pre_miRNA from 11 species